rnacentral:rRNA from 1 species
UACGUAGGGGGCGAGCGUUGUCCGGAUUUAUUGGGCGUAAAGAGCUCGUAGGCGGUUGUGGAAGUCGGAUGUGAAAUACCGGGCUCAACUCCGGGGCGCCAUUCGAUACUCCACUGACCUAGAGUCCGGUAGGGGAAGGUGGAAUUCCGUGGUGUAGCGGUGAAAUGCACAGAUAUCAGGAGGAACACCGGUGGCGAAGGCGGCCUCUGGGCCGGUACUGACGGCUGAGGAGCGAAAGCUAGGGGAGCGAACAGGAUUAG